AUUAAUGCUUCAUAUCAUUAGAAUAUAAUUUUUUGGUUAGUAGGUACUUAGUUAUAUAUUACAUAUUACACCUAAUCAUAAGAAUAAUAGGUAUAAUGUCAUAAUAAUGUAAGAAUACUAAAUAGUAGUAAACGGUAUUAUUACCUACAAGAGAAGUGUUUUUUUAUAUUAAUUAUGAGUACAGAUAUACUUACUAUAUCACUCGAAUUCUAAAUUGUUAAGUACAUACAUGUUGGCCUAUUGACCCUAUUAAGAUAUACUAAGAUAUAUUGAGAUAUACUAUCAGGGUCAGGUACUUUACCGCAAGUAUAAUACAAUACUCCCAAUGAACCAGACACUCAUGAAAAGUACGCUAUAGAGAUAAAUAAAAAUGGAUUAGGGAGUGCCCCACUUAGUAAUAUAUAAAGCUGCAGUGAUUUCAAAUCAAGUGUCAUUCCCAUCUCAAAAUUACAAAUCAAAGCUAGACAAAACAUUCCUAAUAAAACAAAACAAGAAAAUAAAAACAAAAAGAAGAAUUUAAUAAAAUUAUAAACAGCAGAUAUGAAGCUACCAGUUCUAUUCACCAUUGUAGUGGUGUUGUUGUCAGUUUUCCUGGGUUCCGGGGAAGCAGCUCCGGGGAAAAUACCCGUGAAGGCGAUCAGGAAAGGUGGCGAGAUUAUUGGAAAAGCUCUAAACCGCAUUAGCAUAGCAAGUACCGCUCAUGACAUUGUCAGCCACUUCCAACCGAAGAAGAAAAAGAAGAAGAAGAAAAAUUAAUGCUCUAAUUUGUUAAUAAAAUAUUUUUAAUUACGUAAUAAUA